rnacentral:rRNA from 1 species
AGUGAACGCUGGCGGUAGGCCUAACACAUGCAAGUCGAACGGCAGCACAGUAAGAGCUUGCUCUUACGGGUGGCGAGUGGCGGACGGGUGAGGAAUACAUCGGAAUCUACUUUUUCGUGGGGGAUAACGUAGGGAAACUUACGCUAAUACCGCAUACGACCUACGGGUGAAAGCAGGGGAUCUUCGGACCUUGCGCGAUUGAAUGAGCCGAUGUCGGAUUAGCUAGUUGGCGGGGUAAAGGCCCACCAAGGCGACGAUCCGUAGCUGGUCUGAGAGGAUGAUCAGUCACACUGGAACUGAGACACGGUCCAGACUCCUACGGGAGGCAGCAGUGGGGAAUAUUGGACAAUGGGCGCAAGCCUGAUCCAGCCAUACUGCGUGGGUGAAGAAGGCCUUCGGGUUGUAAAGCCCUUUUGUUGGGAAAGAAAAGCAGCAGGUUAAUACCCCGCUGUUCUGACGGUACCCAAAGAAUAAGCACCGGCUAACUUCGUG